UCAGCUGGUCUUGGGUAAAUGC
rnacentral:miRNA from 1 species